GCAUAUCAAUAAGCGGAGGAAAAGAAAGUAACAAUGAUUCCCUCAGUAACGGCGAGCGAAGAGGGAUAAGCUCAAAUUUUAAAUCUGUUGGGUUCCACUUAACAGAGUUGUAUUUUGAAGAAACGUUCUCUGCAUCCAGGAUUAGCCUAAAUCCUUUGGGAUAAGGUAUCAUGGAGGGUGAGAAUCCCGUUCAUGGUUAAUCUUAAGGAAGCUCUACGAUACGUUUUCCAAGAGUCGAGUUGUUUGGGAUUGCAGCUCAAAAUGGGAGGUAAAUUUCUCCUAAGGCUAAAUAUUGGCGAGAGACCGAUAGCGAACAAGUACCGUGAGGGGAAGAUGAAAAGAACUUGAAAAGAGAGUUAAACAGUACGUGAAAUUGUUGAAAGGGAAACGAUUGAAGUCAGUCAUACCAACGGGAAAUCAACCUUUUGAGCUCGGUCUCGUGGGUUUCGAAGAGUUUCAAAGCCUUCGGAUUCGCGGGAUUGGGAUCUCUUGGUGUACUUUUUCGUACGGUUAGUCAACAUCGGUUUUGAAUGUCAUAAAAUGACUGGAGGAAUGUAGCUUCGAUCUCGUAUUGAAGUGUUAUAGCCUUUGGUAGAUGUGAUGUUUGAGACCGAGGAUUGCAACGGAUACCCUUCAGGGCUAUUCGUCUGAUCUCUGAUACGUUGCCUUGAUGUUGAAAGCUUGCUUAUGAUGUUAGGGUAUUACGGUCAAAAGGUUGGAACGAAUUACAUUCGUUAAGGAUGUUGACGUAAUGACUUUUAAACGACCCGUCUUGAAACACGGACCA
rnacentral:rRNA from 1 species